CAAUGUCGGUGAAUCAAUUUGCUGCGAUGUUCAUUGCUUUGUCUCUCAGUUGUUCUUGGUGAAAAAGGGUUUCGAUCGAAAAGGGUAUCUUUAGAAUCAAUCGGAAAGGGUUUCUUUAUUGUUCGUGGGAUUGAAGCUUUGCUUAGAGAUCUUGCAGAGAAACUGGUCGGCUCUCUCUCUCUAAUUCACUCAGAAUGGAUUUAGAGUCUUUACAAACAAUUGCAUUUCUCAAUGCACAAAAUGACUUAAUAGACAUGAAUGAGGAAGAUGCAGAAGUGCAAGCACCGGAGCAAAGUGAAACACAAAUUCAGCCGACUCAAACUCAACAAGCUCCACGUAAUAAUAACAUAAUAACAUCACUAGUUAACAUCUACAGCUCCCAAGGUAGUCCACUGGAUAACAAACUGAAAUCAAUACGUCAUAAUAAGAUCCCAAAUAUAAAGAAAUACGAGCUUAACCAAAUCCAGAAACUCUAAAAUUCAGAUUAUUAGCCAAACUUCAGCAAAUCAAUACUAGUUAACAUCUAAACAAUCGAAAAAACCUAAAAUCCAAUCUACAACGAAACAGUAAGCUAAAUUAAUAAAACAGAGAAGGAGGACAUUCAUAUACAAAAUCCCCUAAGAGAGGACUACCAAUAAGGAUGGUCUUAGUCCUUGAUGCCUAGUUUACUGCAUACAGGCCUACAUAUCUACUACGACAGUCGACAUAAGAGUUUCACCACCUCGAUAAUUUUUUCUGUUUUUUUUGCCAAAGCGAUCAAUUUUUUUUAAACGUUCUUUAUCUUUCUUAAACUUUUAAAUCUUAUUAUUUAAAAGUUUUUUUGAAGUCACUAGCAUGUUUACUUAAGUAGGAUUUAUUCCAAAAUUUGGGAACUUUAUUUGACUAAAAAUGUUUUUUUCAUGUAUUUGUAUUUCAUUGUUCAAAAAAAUAUUUGCAGAAAAGAGAUUUAGUAACGAUUUAAUUACACCAAAAAAUAUUUAUCAUACUUUUUAACCAAAAGAAAUAUUAAAUAUACUUCUAUUUCUGUAGUAAAGUAGUUAACCAUUCAAAAUAAUAACACAAUGAUCGAACUACACCUUAGAGCAUGGUCAUAGGUGAUACUCAUAAAAUAUCAUUAAUAAUUUUUUAGUAUUAUUUAUAAUGAUUGUUUAAUUUUUUUUUCCUGCUUUUGGUAAACACGACCAAUCAGGAGAUGCUAUGUCAGAUAAUACUGAUCAGACCCAUUUUAAUU